GACGAACGCUGGCGGCGUGCUUAAUACAUGCAAGUCGAACGAAAAGGCCCUGCUUUUGUUGCUUUGUCGUGUGCCGAAGGGGUGAGUAACACGUGAGUAACCUCCCCCUGUCUUUGGGAUAACUCCAGGAAACUGGGGCUAUAACCGGAUAUGAGCUACUGCUGCAUCGUGUUGGUUGGUAAAAUUCGGCGGUUGGGGCAGGAGUCGCGGCAUAGCAGCCUCUUGGUCGGGUUGUGGCUUAAACAGGCUACGACGGGUAGCCGGCCUGGGAGGGUGACCGGCCGCAGUGGGCCAGAGAUGCGGCCCAGACUGCUACGGGAGGCAGCGGUGAAGAAUAGUGAACAAUGGGCGGAAGCCUGGUGCAGCGACGCCGGGUGGGGGAUGUCGGCCUUCGGGUUGUAACACACUUUCACCUGUGACGAAGCGUCAGGAAGGGUAAUGAGGAGAGAAGCACGGGUUAAUAAGGU
rnacentral:rRNA from 1 species